rnacentral:rRNA from 1 species
CUAUGCGCCUUGCCAGCCCGCUCAGGUGUGCCAGGCAGCCGCGGUAAUACGUAGGGGGCUAGCGUUAUCCGGAAUUACUGGGCGUAAAGGGUGCGUAGGUGGUUCUUAAGUCAGAGGUGAAAGGCUACGGCUCAACCGUAGUAAGCCUUUGAAACUGGGGAACUUGAGUGCAGGAGAGGAGAGUGGAAUUCCUAGUGUAGCGGUGAAAUGCGUAGAUAUUAGGAGGAACACCAGUUGCGAAGGCGGCUCUCUGGACUGUAACUGACACUGAGGCACGAAAGCGUGGGGAGCAAACAGG